rnacentral:rRNA from 1 species
UACGGGGGGGGUAAGCGUUGUUCGGAAUUACUGGGCGUAAAGCGCACGUAGGCGGACCAGCAAGUUAGGGGUGAAAUCCCGGGGCUCAACCCCGGAACUGCCUUUAAAACUGUUGGUCUGGAGGUCGAGAGAGGUGAGUGGAAUUCCGAGUGUAGAGGUGAAAUUCGUAGAUAUUCGGAAGAACACCAGUGGCGAAGGCGGCUCACUGGCCCGGUACUGACGCUGAUGUGCGAAAGCGUGGGGAGCAAACAGG